UAUGUGAUCGUCUCUCGCAUAUCAAUAAGCGGAGGAAAAGAAACUAACAAGGAUUCCCCUAGUAACGGCGAGUGAAGCGGGAAGAGCUCAAAUUUGAAAUCUUAAAGGGUUUCCCUUUACGAAUUGUAGUUUAAAGAAGUGUUUUCUGUUGAGGUUUUGGUAAAAGUUCUUUGGAAUAGGACAUCAUAGAGGGUGAGAAUCCCGUAUUUGACCUUUACUUUCAACUUUGUGAUACACUUUCAAAGAGUCGGAUUGUUUGGGAAUGCAGUCCAAAAUGGGUGGUAAAUUUCAUCUAAAGCUAAAUAUUGGCGAGAGACCGAUAGCGAACAAGUACCGUGAGGGAAAGAUGAAAAGAACUUUGAAAAGAGAGUUAAACAGUACGUGAAAUUGUCGAAAGGGAAGCGUUUGACACCAGUGUUGUUUUUCUGAAAAUCAAUUAAAGAACUGUUUAUGCUAAGUUGUUUAGACUUUAUCAGCUAUCUGCUUAGUUUUGAGCUUUUCUUUAAUGCACUUUUCAGUUAACAAGUCAACAUCAAUUUCUUUUGCUGUAAAAAAGCUUGAGGAAGGUGGCUUGAGAUUCGUCUUAAGUGUUUAUAGCCUCUUGCCUAUGCAGUCGGAGAGAUUGAGGUCUGCAGCGUAGAUCCUUCGGGGCUAAAUGCAUUUGUGCUAAGUUAUAGCAUUUUAUAGACAACUUGUUGACUAUGAUUUGUCUUGUAGCUUACUCGCUUAUGUUAUUUUACCUACGCUUAGGAUGUUGAGCGCAUGUCUCUCUCU
rnacentral:rRNA from 1 species